GACUCUCGGCAACGGAUAUCUCGGCUCUUGUCACGAUGAAGAACGUAGAGAAAUGUGAUACUUAGUGUGAAUUGCAGAAUCCCGUGAAUCAUCGAGUUUUUGAACGCAAUUUGCGCCCGAGGCCUCGGUCGAGGGCACGUCUGUCUGGGUGUCG
rnacentral:rRNA from 1 species